rnacentral:rRNA from 1 species
CCUACGGGUGGCAGCAGUGAGGAAUAUUGGUCAAUGGACGAGAGUCUGAACCAGCCAAGUAGCGUGAAGGAUGACUGCCCUAUGGGUUGUAAACUUCUUUUAUAAAGGAAUAAAACGAGGCACGUGUGCCGUUUUGCAUGUACUUUAUGAAUAAGGAUCGGCUAACUCCGUGUCAGCAGCCGCGGUAAUACGGAGGAUCCGAGCGUUAUCCGGAUUUAUUGGGUUUAAAGGGAGCGUAGAUGGGUUGUUAAGUCAGUGGUGAAAGUUUGCGGCUCAACCGUAAAAUUGCAAUUGAUACUGGCAGUCUUGAGUACAGUUGAGGUAGGCGGAAUUCGUGGUGUAGCGGUGAAAUGCUUAGAUAUCACGAAGAACCCCGAUUGCGAAGGCAGCUUACUAAACUGUGACUGACAUUGAUGCUCGAAAGUGUGGGUAUCAAACAGGAUUAGAUACCCGUGUAGUC